rnacentral:rRNA from 1 species
CAGUCGCCGCGGUAAUACGGAGGGUGCAAGCGUUAUCCGGAUUCACUGGGUUUAAAGGGUGCGUAGGCGGAUCUGUAAGUCAGUGGUGAAAUCUUCAGGCUUAACCUGGAAACUGCCGUUGAUACUAUAGGUCUUGAAUUUUGUGGAGGUUAGCGGAAUAUGUCAUGUAGCGGUGAAAUGCAUAGAUAUGACAUAGAACACCAAUUGCGAAGGCAGCUGGCUACACAACUAUUGACGCUGAGGCACGAAAGCGUGGGGAUCAAACAGGAUUAGAUACCCGAGUAGUCCCUGUCUCUUAUAC